AUUGAACGCUGGCGGCAGGCCUAACACAUGCAAGUCGAGCGGUAACACAGGGAGCUUGCUCCUGGGUGACGAGCGGCGGACGGGUGAGUAAUGUCUGGGAAACUGCCUGAUGGAGGGGGAUAACUACUGGAAACGGUAGCUAAUACCGCAUAACGUCGCAAGACCAAAGAGGGGGACCUUCGGGCCUCUUGCCAUCAGAUGUGCCCAGAUGGGAUUAGCUAGUAGGUGGGGUAACGGCUCACCUAGGCGACGAUCCCUAGCUGGUCUGAGAGGAUGACCAGCAACACUGGAACUGAGACACGGUCCAGACUCCUACGGGAGGCAGCAGUGGGGAAUAUUGCACAAUGGGCGCAAGCCUGAGGCAGCCAUGCCGCGUGUAUGAAGAAGGCCUUCGGGUUGUAAAGUACUUUCAGCGGGGAGGAAGGCGAUAGGUUAAUAACCUUGUCGAUUGACGUUACCCGCAGAAGAAGCACCGGCUAACUCCGUGCCAGCCGCCGCAGUAA
rnacentral:rRNA from 1 species